rnacentral:lncRNA from 1 species
GGGGGGAGAAGGCAGCGGGGAGCGGGGGGAGGACGGCGCCGGGAGGGCUGGGCUGGGGGUGUCCUCCCUUCAGCCUGGGGGUGUCCUCUCCCCUCGGUCUGGGGGUGCCGCCUCUGCAGGUGCCUCGCCACGGCCCCCCCCGGAGGCGGAGGGGGGUAGGAGUGAAAGGCUCCUGUGAACAUAGGUCACUGGGACACAGGGGCCAUCAAGGAAAAUGGGGAGAGUUUUGCUGCAAGUAGCUGUAGUUUACAGGAAUCAUGCAGAUCGCUUGUUAAGAUAAAAAGUAGGUAAAAG